rnacentral:rRNA from 1 species
UACGUAGGGGGCGAGCGUUGUCCGGAGUUACUGGCGUAAAGGGCACGCAGGCGGUGCGGCGCGUUUCGCGUGACAGCGGAGGGCUUAACUCUCCGAGGAUGCGAAAGACGGCGGCACUUGAGGGCCAGAGAGGGACACGGAAUUCCGGGUGGAGUGGUGAAAUGCGUAGAGAUCCGGAGGAACACCGAAGGCGAAGGCAGUGUCCUGGCUGGUGACUGACGCUGAGGUGCGAAAGCUAGGGGAGCGAACGGG